CGCGGCCUAUCAGCUUGUUGGUGGGGUAACGGCCUACCAAGGCAUCGACGGGUAGCUGGUCUGAGAGGACGAUCAGCCACACUGGGACUGAGACACGGCCCAGACUCCUACGGGAGGCAGCAGUGGGGAAUAUUGCGCAAUGGGCGAAAGCCUGACGCAGCAACGCCGCGUGGGGGAUGACGGCCUUCGGGUUGUAAACCCCUUUCAGCAGGGACGAAAAUGACGGUACCUGCAGAAGAAGCCCCGGCCAACUACGUGCCAGCAGCCGCGGUAACACGUAGGGGGCAAGCGUUGUCCGGAUUUAUUGGGCGUAAAGAGCUCGUAGGCGGUUGCGUAAGUCGGAUGUGAAAACUCAGGGCUCAACCCGGAGACGCCAUCCGAUACUGCGCUGACUAGAGUCCGGUAGAGGAGCAUGGAAUUCCUGGUGUAGCGGUGAAAUGCGCAGAUAUCAGGAGGAACACCAGUGGCGAAGGCGGUGCUCUGGGCCGGUACUGACGCUGAGGAGCGAAAGCGUGGGUAGCGAACAGGAUUAGAUACCCUGGUAGUCCACGCCGUAAACGUUGGGCACUAGGUGUGGGGCCUCCUUAACGGGUUCCGUGCCGUAGCUAACGCAUUAAGUGCCCCGCCUGGGGAGUACGG
rnacentral:rRNA from 2 species